rnacentral:tRNA from 1 species
GCUAUAAUAGUUUAAUUUAAAACGUGUGAUUUGUAAUCAUAAAAUGUGAAUAGUAA